AUUGAACGCUGGCGGCAUGCCUUACACAUGCAAGUCGAACGGUAACAGGUCUUCGGAUGCUGACGAGUGGCGAACGGGUGAGUAAUACAUCGGAACGUGCCUAGUAGUGGGGGAUAACUACUCGAAAGAGUGGCUAAUACCGCAUGAGAUCUACGGAUGAAAGCAGGGGAUCGCAAGACCUUGUGCUACUAGAGCGGCCGAUGGCAGAUUAGGUAGUUGGUGGGAUAAAAGCUUACCAAGCCGACGAUCUGUAGCUGGUCUGAGAGGACGAUCAGCCACACGGGGACUGAGAAACGGCCCAGACUCCUACGGGAGGCAGCAGUGGGGAAUUUUGGACAAUGGGCGAAAGCCUGAUCCAGCAAUGCCGCGUGCAGGAUGAAGGCCUUCGGGUUGUAAACUGCUCUUGUACGGAACGAAAAGCCCCGGGUUAAUACCCUGAGGUCAUGACGGUACCGUAAGAAUAAGCACCGGCUAACUACGUGCCAGCCGCCGCCGUAA
rnacentral:rRNA from 1 species